GCCUACUUAGCUUAGUUGGUAGAGCAUUCGCUUCGUAAGCGAAAGGUCGCCGGUUCGAGUCCGGUAGUAGGCU
rnacentral:tRNA from 1 species